GAGAAUCUGUGAUGUCUGGUCAGCUGGAGCUGAAGAAUCGGCUGUGGUUAACAAGAGAGCAGAAUCACUAUAAUAAAACCUUUGUUUUACUGCGACAGCUGAUGUUUCAAUGAUGAACAUCAGCGUAAAAGUGUAACCUUCAUCUCCCUAACUUGCCUUUGGCCAUAGUGUUCUAGUAAUUGUAACCCUAACCAAGACACUAGCGAAAACUGGAUGUCAGUCAACUUUAGGUAUGAGCAAAACUUUCAACGUUGUGUACAUAGGAACAACUUUGGAAGGAAAUGCUAUUAAUCUUUAAAGUUGUGUUAAUCUUUAAAGCUGUGUUGGAGGGUAACAGGCUGAAAACAACAUGUCUUAGGUCUGCCCUAAAAGCUAGGGAGGUGGGUAGUAAGGAUGCUGAGUAAUCACUGAGCCUGGGAAUUCGGGUAUAUAGGAGUUUAUUGUAGCAGUGCCUGCACUUUAUGUAGACUUGCUUUUGUUUAAAAUUAAAGCAACAACUAGGUACCAUGCAUGAUUCAACAUGGGAAAUUCCUACAGCUAUGGAUUUGGCAGAACCUUGCAGUUGAUUUCAAAUCCAAAAACCAUUAAAGGUGGCUAAAAGUAUGAUUUUAAAGUGCUUUUACAUGUAAUGUAAAAAAUGUGCCAAAAAGAAAAAUAAUCAUACUCUUUGCAAGUCCUGUCAUAGACCAUUGGCCAGAGUUCUAACAUAGAAAUGUCUAAGGUAGGCAAAGGAUCUGGACAGACAGCUCACAACGAGGAGAUGGCAGUCGAAUGUGCUGAAACACGAACCAACUCUCAGCCUCAUUUGUGAGGGAAAAUGUGCAGGGCUUGGGCCACCUCAGACCAGCAAGCCUCUAGCUGUUGGUCAGACAUGAAGAUUGGUAAGGCUGUGGAGAAAGUUCAGCCGAUGGGAAUGUGAGAUGGCUCAAUGCCAAGGAAGUCUAAUUUGGCAGUUUCUGUCAGGAUUCUUUCAGAUGCAAUCACAGUCAGGGUUACACACUGAAGCUCUGUUAGUAGAACUCAGCCAAGGCUGGGAACCUUCAUCUCUCCUCUGUGGGGGUAACCUAGAAAACUGCACGCCCUGGAAUGCCAUACAGCUCUGAGAAGGAAAGAAGCCCCCUGGGUACCUGUUCUGGAAGGCCUCUCAAGAACAUCACUGGAGACCCAAUACUUGUGUAUGAAAUGGAAAAUAAGUAUCUUUAAUUAAUUUGUGUAAAGAAACUAUGUAAAGACCUGGAGGAAACUCAGCCAUGCAAGGGAGUGAGCCAGGACUGUAGUGCCUCUGUGAGAACCUUCAAGUUCAUGAAGGCAUCUGUGCAGGUUGAGCCAGCAUUAUGUGAUGUCCAUUAGUGGCUCACUUUUAUAUAAAGCUGAGUAAAAUUCCAAAAAUAACAGUUAGAUCAUUUGAAAAUAUAUGGGGUAGGUACCCAUGAAAUGUUUGCCUCAAUGUGUGUUUUGUGCACAGUGUGUCCUGCCAGCCCAGGUUAAGUCCUGGGCCCUUCGAUUAAGUCAGACAUUGUGACUGCUGAGAAAGAAAGCGCUCUGCUCCCUCCUGGGACAUUUCAUCACCUCCCUCCUGGUUCCGCCAGCUGCUCUAUUAAAUAUGAGGAGCAAGCAUGCUUUCACCGACUAGGGAAGAAAUCAGAUGAACUGUCUGCCCAUAAAUUAUAUCAUGGCUCUUCGGAGAGUUUUGUAGCCUGGAGCCACUGCUGUUUUCCUGUCUCAGGCUUAAGUUCGAGCAGCUGCAUGUUGAAUGCUUUUCCAUUUUUGUUUAAAAAUGUGUGUUAGCACCUCCUCCAAGUCCUCUUACUUCACACCCCAUCCCAGCCCCAAACUCUCCCCUGGAAACACAAAGAUUUUUAACCUUUUAAGAAACAAAAUUAGGACGUUCUCUUCCUAUAUCUUUCCCUUCUCUGUAAGAAAAAGACCACUGGAGACACUCCUUGUAUUUGCAUAUGAUGUAUCUGCUGGAAGGCAGAGAGAGUGUGAGUUUGCAUGGCCAUCCCACUUACGUGCUACUCCAGUUUUAGGUGGAAGCUGAGCAAUCAUGCACGGAGGUCCUUUAUAGAAAUGAAAAGGUUUUUAAUUGUUGCAUUUCUCCAUCCCCCCACGUCCUGUGUGUGUGGGUGUGAGUGGGAGGGGAGGGAGAUCUGAGCUCAAGUUCUCAUCCCUGUGCAGUAGACACUUUACCUACUGAGCCAUCUCCAUUCUUUAAAAAUGAAUAUCUAGUCUUGUUGCAGAUCAGACUAUUUGCAUAUUUAACAUAUUAAACACUCCCUUUAAAGCAGCCUGACAGCUGACUUUUCUGAGCUCUGUUCACAGGCUUCCUUCCUUCUUGGGAGCCCUGCCCUCUUAAGCUUUGGAACUCAUUUGGCUGAAAACUGUCUCCCAUUGUCCUGUUUCUCCCACUGGUGCUUUGUGGACAAGCUCAGUGCAGUGGGGAUCUGUGUUGUGGAGCUCAGCUGCCUGGAUUCUGGAAGGAGUUCCCUGUGCACAGGACACAUAUCGAGACAUCCAGAAAUGUUCCCCUUGUUUUUAUAUUAUUGCAAAAUAAUCUAAACUCUACCGGAUGGCAUUUAGGUUUGCUAAUUCAUUAGUCUGUACAUUGGUAAGGGCAAACAGACUACAAUACAACAACAUAAUAACCAAGGUGUCAGGAUUUGAACGACCAAUCACAAACAUCCCAAAUGUUAUCUCUUACAUUUCGGUUUUAUAAUGAAACCAGCAAACAUUGGGCUAGC
rnacentral:lncRNA from 1 species